rnacentral:ncRNA from 1 species
GAAAGCCCAGUGCGGGAAAUCCGCACGCUGGGUUUGUCGAGGCGGAGGUUGGAAACGGGCCUUUAGUACCGCGCCAGCCUUCGACCCUAC